UACGUAGGGUGCGAGCGUUAAUCGGAAUUACUGGGCGUAAAGCGUGCGCAGGCGGUUUUGUAAGCCAGAUGUGAAAUCCCCGGGCUUAACCUGGGAAUGGCAUUUGGGACUGCAAGGCUCGAGUGCGGCAGAGGAGACUGGAAUUCCUGGUGUAGCAGUGAAAUGCGUAGAUAUCAGGAGGAACACCGGUGGUGUAGACGGCUUCCUGGACCACAACUGACGCUGAGACACGAAAGCGUGGGGAGCAAACAGG
rnacentral:rRNA from 1 species